UUUACUUCCAUUUACCGAAGGUACUUUUCAAAAAAAGAAAAAUAAAUUACCUUAGGCGUCGCCCUUCAGUUUCCCGAAGAACAGUGGGUGUUCAAGGAAAGUCUUUCUACUAAGCUCCACUGGGUCUUUUCCUGUCGUAACAGAGAGGUGGGGUGACAUUGUCUGGGAGGUUCACACGUUCAGGGAAAGAUCAAGCAUAAAAUUUGAAAGGGACCAAGCAGCAAUGUUAGUAUGUGGUGGGCUCAGUAAUCGACGAUGAACAAAAACGUCAGUUCGAACAUCUAAUCUGCAUGUGGACAGAAGUGCUCUGAGCCCAAGCGGUCAUCAAAGCUGUUCGCCUACUUGAGCCGAACCCCACUAGGAUGAGUACCAACGGCAAUCUUGUUGCGGGACAUGGUACAAGAAUGAUCUCUUCUUCUCAAUGUCUCAGAAAAUGAAGGAAGUGGGGUGUUCAGAGAGGCUGUUCUGUAAUAAAAGAGUUUUAAGACUCAUAAAAAUCAAAUAUGAUGCCUAACCCAUGAAUGGGUUCUCGUGAGAAGAAAAGAACCAUAAAAGCACCAUGUAAUCUGGAAUCUUGGUCCAGCCCUCAUGACCCGUCUGUUCUCUGCCAAGUCUCACAGAAUCUCAUCCUGUGCUGCAGCUCAGUAUUCAGUCAAAGACCCAAGGAAAGGAACUCCUCUGGAUGUUUUGGAAGCUACUUUUCUAUAUUUCUCCCCAUUGUGUGGCACCAUGUCCUGCAAAUGCAACUUGCUCCAACAACCUUAGACUCUGAUCUUGGUCCGUUCUACCCAGGGACACUCCUCUUUUCUUUUCUUUUUUUUUUUUUUUUUCUUUUUCUCUUUUCUGCUUGGGCUCCUCUUCCCUGUGCUGCAGCUUGGAAAGUGCUCUCUCAGCUAUAAUAUAGAUCUCAUCUCAUGUGUGGCUUUUCUUUCAAAGAUUACAACCUUGCACUGUCUAUCCAAUACCUGAAAGCAGCUAGUUCAUAUGUAUUGUCCAGUUUUAUGGUUCAUUCCCUGAGAGGGCAAGCCCAGUCAUCCUUACUCCAUCUUGCCUAGAACUAGAAGUGACUUCAACUUGCUUAUUAAUCUCUGAACUUCAGGUUCAUCAACACCUGUGGCAUGAGGCUUUGGGCUAGACCAGUACAUCUGAUGUGUAACUCUGCCCAUAUUCAGAGCUGUUUCUCAGUCCAAGCCACUUUCUCCACCUAUAAUAUGGGUUUCCAGUAUAAAAGUUGGAUUUGAUCUCUUGAAUAAACUCUUCUGCAGUUACA
rnacentral:lncRNA from 12 species